CCACACCAGGUCCAGCACUCCCCAAUAACACACCAGGUCCAGCACUCCCCAAUAACACACCUCACCAAUAACACACCUCACCAAUAACACACCAGGUUCAGCACUCCCCAAUAACACACCUCACCAAUAACACACCAGGUCCAGCACUCCCCAAUAACACACCUCACCAAUAACACACCAGGUUCAGCACUCCCCAAUAACACACCUCUCCAAUAACACACCAGGUCCAGCACUCACCAAUAACACACCUCACCAAUAACACACCUCACCAAUAACACACCAGGUCCAGCACUCACCAAUUACACACCUCACCAAUUACACACCUCACCAAUAACACACCUCACCAAUAACACACCUCACCAAUUACACACCUCACUGAUAACACACCUCACCAAUAACACACCUCACCAAUAACACACCUCACCAAUAACACACCUCACCAAUCACACACCAGGUCCAGCACUCACCGAUAACACACCUCACCAAUAACGCACCUCACCGAUAACACACCUCACCAAUAACGCACCUCACCGAUAACAUACCUCACCAAUAACGCACCUCACCGAUAACACAGCUCACCGAUAACACACCUGACAGUUGCAGGACAGAACAUCCCUCUCUCCCCCUCAGUUUCCAGUCUAGCUGUAAAGAUCGAUUCCUCCCUGACCUUUGACAGCCACAUCAAACAACUGUUUGUCAUUCUGGGGUGGCAGCGUAGCCUAGUGGUUAGAGCGGUGGACUAGUAACCGAAAGGUUGCAAGUUCGAAAUCCCUGAGCAGACAAGGUACAAAUCUGUCGUUCUGUCCCUGAACAAGGCAGUUAACCCACUGUUCCUAGGCCGUCAUUGAAAAUAAGAAUUUGUUCUUAACUGACUUGCCAAGUUAAAUAAAAUAAAACAAUUCUAUCACCUCGUGAACAUUGCCAAACUCCGUCUCACUCAGUCUGAGGCAGAGAAACUGGUCCAUUUCUUUAUCUCCUCAAGGCUGGACGACUACAACACAGUCUUCACCUGGAUCCCUGGCAGGAGUCUCCAGGACUACAACACAGUCUUCACCUGGAUCCCUGGCAGGAGUCUCCAGGACUACAACACAGUCUUCACCUGGAUCCCGGGUAGGAGUCUCCAGAAGCUCCAGUACAUCCAGAACAGUACUGCCAGGAUCCUGAUGAGAGUCAGGAAACACCAUGACUUCAACCCCAUCCCGGCAUCUCUGCACUGGCUCCCAGUCUCAUAACCCUCCUGGUGACCUUCCAGUGUAGUCAUGG
ensembl:lncRNA